ensembl:snoRNA
ACCUUCUUGUAUAAGCGCUGUGCUAAAAUUGCGGAAACUAGGAUCAUAACUUGGUUUUUGUAAUAAUGCUAGCAGAGUACACACAAGAAGAAAAGUAUCUGCACUAGAUCCUGAAGACGGGGGUGGACCUCUUUCUUAAUGUCCAGUGUCCUUUGUCUUAAGAUUUGGUGCAAUAUGU